rnacentral:rRNA from 1 species
UACGAGGGGGGCGAGCGUUGUUCGGAAUUACUGGGCGUAAAGAGUGUGUAGGCGGUGCUCUAAGUUCGGUGUGAAAUCUCCCGGCUUAACUGGGAGGGUGCGCCGGAAACUGGAGUGCUUGAGCGCGGGAGAGGAAAGCGGAAUUCCUGGUGUAGCGGUGAAAUGCGUAGAUAUCAGGAGGAACACCUGCGGUGUAGACGGCUUUCUGGACCGUAGCUGACGCUGAGACACGAAAGCGUGGGUAGCAAACAGG